UGCUCGGCGCCACUUUUCGGUGUGCAGAGCGCGAAUGACGGCUGUCCGUCCUGCCAGGGCCCUGUGAGGAGAAACGGCGACUUCUCUUCACGUUGUUCUGCUGAGAAUUGUAAUCGCGUCGAUCAAUCACAUCCUGUUGUGACGUGUGACGCCCAUUCAUGUUGAAGCUGCUAUGCAAAUGGAAACUAUCGAAGAUCAUUUGAGAGUCACGAGAGAAUCUGCGGAUGCAGGAAAUCCUGAGCAACACACAAAAACACUGGAGGAGCCCAGCAGGUCAGGCAGCGUCUAUGGAGGGGAAUAAACAGUCAACGUUUCAGGCCGAUGCUCUUCAUCAGGACUGGAGAGUCUUGUCCUUCUCCGCGGCUGGUGUUUUCUCCAUGCCGUCCCUUCCUGUGCUUCUCCUGAAGCCGCCGCCAGCAGUGAAGGACUUUGUCUCAGAGAAGAUGGAGGCAAACUUCAAUGUCCUGAGGAAUCAGAGAGGAGCAGAGGGAACAGAACUUGUGGAGAAAACUGCAGCAACUUCUCCCAGUAAAAGUAGGGAAAUUUCUCCAGUUGAGAAGACUGGCAUACAAGGUAACAGAAAAAACUAUCACAGUCUUUUACAGCAGUGCUUGAUUGACAGAGAAAUUACCUAAUCAUUUUCAGUAUGGCUGGGAAUUAAUUUUAAGUAUAUUGAGUCAUUUUAAAAGCCAUAACAUCAUAAGACAUAGGUAUAGAAUUAGGUCAUUUGGCCCAUUGAGACUGCUCCACCAUUCAGUCGUAGCUAAUUUAUUUUCCCUCUCCCCAUAACCUUUGAUUCCCUUACUAAUUAAGUAUGUAUCAAUCUCUACUGUAAAUACACACAAUGUCUUGGCCUCCACUGCCAUCUCCAGCCAGAGAAACUCCUCCACAUCUCUGUUCUAAAGGGAUACCCUUGCAUUUUGAGGCCAUAACACAUAAUAUCACAUGACAGUUGUUUCUUUGAUGCAAGCAAUUAAAAACACAUCAUGCGACACACUGCUCAUUUGCAUAUAAUUAUAAUAUUAUAAUAGAAUUAUUGUUCACCCGACGUCAGUUCUGAUGAAAAUGGAAAACCAUGAAUGGGAAGUUAGCAAGUUGGUUGUGGCACUAACUGAACAGUCUCUGUUGGAGUAUUCUCCAUGAUCAGGGAAUCCUACAUACCAAGCAACAGUUAGAUUACUUCAGCGCUGAUUUUCUAAACAUUAACAAGCACAUUCAGGUUAAUUAGGAAUCUUUCCAGGAAGUUAUCAGUGACUUUUCCCACUGCUCACUUACUGAUUCAUUUUGGGCAAGAGCUCCUGCAUUAACUUUCCAAUUAUUCUGUUUUUCCUGAAUCGUGGCUGAGACCAAGGGGCAUAGGAGUAGAAUUAGGCUGUUUGCCUGUUGAGUCUAACCCUAUCAUAAACCCAGUCAGUGACAUCCGUGCAUUGUGACAAGGAGCAGGAGUCCGAGUUGUCUUGUACAUACUGUUCUGAGCUCUAUGGUGCUGAAUUCAAUUAGGGACUUUUUUUUUGUAAUUAAUUUUUUUAUUGAAGUUUAUCAUCAAACAAACAUUUCCAUAAGAUGUAUUUCAGAUAUUGUACAUAUAUAUCAUAUAGUCAUAUAUGCCACAAAUCUCCAUAUAAUAUUUAUCUGAGGUAUGUACUUACAGAAAAGAGAGGAAAGAAAGAACAAGCGGAAGGAGAAAACUAUGUAUAAGUAGGAACUGAUCUUUUUUUACAACAUAUUCAUUGACUUGUGAGAAUAAAAUCAGGCCUAUGAGGUGUUACAUAGUUAAACUAUUUUUCCCAGUAUGAAUCAAAUUGUUCCAACUUAUGAUUAACAGAUGCUGUUAUCUUCUCCAUUUUGUAAAUGUCCAUUAUAAUUUCCAUCCAUGCAUUUAAGGUUGGGCUCUCCUGUGAUAACCAUUUCCUAGUAAGAGGCUUUUUACCAGCCACCAACAGUUUAUUCAUUAAAUAUCUAUCUCUUUUCAACCAUUCCUGAGGUAUAUACCCAAAAUAUAUGGUCUUACUUUCUAAGGGUAUUUCACAUUUAAAGAUGUCUUGUGUAUCCCACUCCAAUAGUCUUUGAUAAUGGGGCAUUCCCAGAAAAUAUGAUAACGAUUUGCAUUUUGAUUUCCACAAGUUCUCCAGCAAACAGGGAGGUUACCAUCAUAAUGGGUUUUCUGAGAGGAUGUAAUAAAAUAUCUUAUCAAGUUUUUCCUUUUGAACUCAGUCCAUUUCUGUGAACUGGUACACUUCCAUUGAUACCUCCGUAAAUUUGUCCAUUCUUCCUCAGAUAUAAUUAUCCCUCCUUCCUUCUCCCAUUUUGUUUUAAUGUAUGAAGUUGAAUAUGUUUUAAGAUUUGACAAACGCUUAUAUUUGCUUGAAAUGAUUCUACUACUGUUAUCUGAAUUAUAUGCUUUUCUAAAUAGCUCUAUCAAACAUGUUCUUGCCUUGGUUACAUUUUUAACCGUCCUAUUACCAUAUUGUCGCAUCUGUAAAUACCGAUAAAAAUCUUGUUUUUCUAAUAAGUGUUUCUCUUUAAGCAUUUCAAAACUGAAGUGUUCCUUCUUUCAUUAUAUUGCAAAGAACAGUUAUUCCUUUAGCCAUCCAGGCCUUAAAUCUAGCAUCCAGUUUAUUCGGCAUAAAAUCCGAGUUAUAUGCACACCAUUUAAGGAUUGCAAUAUCUCCCUCUAGUUUAGGUAAAGAGUAUGUUGGUUGCCCUAGAUAGAUCAAUAUGUCAUCCGCGUAACAAGCCAAUUUAUGCUCUGUCCCUUUAAUAGUAAUUCCCCUGAUAUCUUCAUUUUGUCUGAUGUAUUGAGCUAAUGGUUCCAGAUAUAAUGCGAAGAGUAGUGGUGACCAUGCACAACACUGUCUCGUGUCCCUUUCUAGGGUAAGACUAUUUGAUAAAUGUCCAUUGAUUUUAAUCCCAGCAGUAGGGUUGUCAUGUAGUGUCUGUAUAGUUUUAAUAAUUGUGUCUUGGAAAGCAAACCAAUGUAAAACUCUGUAAAGACCAUUCCAAUUAAUCGAAUCAAAUGCCUUUCCAGCGUCCACACUUAUUACUAUUGCUUCGAUUUUAUUUUUUUUUGUAUAUCAUCCAUAAUGUAAAGUGUCCUUUGUAUAUUGGCUUGUGGUCGGCAUUGUUGUAUAAAACCUGUCUGAUCAUUAUGUAUCAGUAUGGGUAGAGACUCUUCUAAUCGUUUGGCCAUGAUGGAGGUAAAUAAUCUAUAAUUUACAUUAAGAACGGAUAUUGGUCUAAAUGACCCACAUUCCAUUUUAUCCGUGCCUUCUUUCGGAAAAGCUGAGAUUAUUGCUUCCUUCCAGCUGGGUGGCAUUUGUGCCUUUUUUAGAGCCCAAUUCAAUGUGGGGAGUAAGACAGGAAUUAACUCAUUUUUAAAUUCUUUGUACCACUCUGCCGUAUACCCAUCUGAUCCUGGUGAUAUGCUUAAUUUAAGCCUACUAAUCGCAGCUUUUAGUUCAAUUUCAGUUAUGUCAGCAGUCAUUGUUCUAUUUUGUUCUUCACUUAAAGUGAGUAACUCUAGAGAAUUCAGGAAGGUGUCAAUUUGGGUUAUGCUUCCCCCUGGAACUUUGGAAUAUAGAGUUUUGUAAAACACUUCAAAAGCUUCUUGAAUUUCACUUAGCUUAUUUUUUUAAAAUAAUUUUUGUCCUUGGAUCCCUAAUUCUAUGAAUUGUAUUUUGUGCUAUCUUUUUUUUUCAGUUUCCACACCAGUAUUUUCAUAGAUUUAGAUACACUUUCAUAAUUUCUCUGUUUCAGAAACAUUAAAUUUUUCCUGAUUUCUUGCGUAGCCGCACUAUUAAUUUCAUUCAUAAUAUUUUUAAUUUCCUCUAAUGUAUCCUGUGCCAAAUUCAAUUUGUGUUUUUUUCUAGUUCCUUCAGCCUAUUUUGUAAUUCCUCUAAUGUUUUAUUCCUUUUUUUUUCUUAUAUGAAGAUAUCACUAUAAUUUUCCCUCUUAAAACAGCCUUCAGAGUAUCUCAUAGAAUGGGAGGUGAAACCUCUCUGUUAUCAUUGAAUUCUAAGUAAAGACCAAUUUCUUUUUUAAUUUGUUCCUUAAAGUGUGGAUCAUUGAGUAGACUUGAAUUUAGUUUCCAAAUAGUAUUCUUUGGUUGUAGUCAAAAUCAAAAGAUAAAUAUAUAGGUGCAUGAUCACUUACUUCUAUUGUCCCAAUUCCACAGGUGUUUAUUUUGUCUUUGUCAUUUCCAAAUGUUAUGAAAUAGUCUAUUCUUGUAUAUACAGAAUGGGGGGGGGCAGAAUAACGAGUGUAAUCCCUUCUGUUGGGGAAAAGGGCCCUCCAUAUAUCAACUAGACCAACAUCCUCAAAAAGUGUAUUAACUUUCUUAAGUAAGGAUUUUGUUUCAUAGGUUUUUCUAUUGGAAGAGCCUAACUUUGGUUGUAAUUGUAAAUUUAAGUCUCCCCCACAUAUCAGGAGAACUUCUGUUUCCGUUACCAUAAUAUCAGUAAUUUUCUGAAAGAAACUAAUAUCACUUCCUGGGGGUGCGUAUAUAUUCAAUAGAGUAACUGAAUUGCCGUCUAUAUUCCCCCUUACCAGAAUAUAUCUGCCCUCCUUAUCUCCCAUUUUGAAUACUUUGUCAAAAUUUAGCUUGCUUGAAAUAAGAAUAGCAACUCCUCUCCUAUGCCCUGAUUUAUAUCAGGAGAAAAACAGAUUAGUGAAGCCCAUUCUCUUUUGUUUUCCAUGCUCAUUAUCACUUAAGGGAGUUUCCUAUAACUAUACUACAUGGGCUUGUUCUUUUUUCAUUUUGGAUAGAAUUCUACUACAUGUGAUUGGAUUUAAUAGCCCAUUGACAUUAAAAGAAAUGAAUUUUACUUUGUCCUUAGCCAUGUGUAUUUAUCUGUCAAUAUAUCAUUGAAAUUAUAAGAAUAAAACUUAAUUGAUCUACUCCCUGAAGAAAUAAGAACCAAGAAACACGAAUUUAAAGAAAAAGGCAAUGAAGGUGUGAUUCCAAGGCUGAGGUCUCUAGUAGAUGACCCUGGGCUGAGCUAGAGGAAAUGUCUAGCUGUGGGGGAUAGCCCCUCCUACCUGUGAGUUGAGGACCCCAUUGCAGUACCCAUAAAAGAACAAAUCUAUGUCCAUUACACUGAAAAGAUUUCCCUGUGUAUUCCUCCCAUGUAUAUAUUCUCACUUAGGUGGGGGGAAAGGAGUGAAUGAAUGAAUAAAAAAGAAUAAUUGAGUAAUAUAAAAUCCACAUUAUAAUAAGUAUUUCUUGAGAUAGGUAUAUCACCAUCUAUUUUUGCUUCUGUUUAGCUUCUCAACACUUUUAAAGUUAGUCAAACCUAACGGCUCUUCUGGAGGGGGUGAGGGUUGUCUUUGGAAAACUCGGUCUCUUCCUGAUAUACUUCUCUCGUCCUCCUCCCGUCCCCUGCUUUCUCGAUUCUCACACUAUUUCCCAAGCAGAGUGGGAUAACUGCUCAGCCAGGCUUUCCCUCGGUUUGAUCAUGCUGACGGGCAACCCUCUGGCCUUCAUGUCUGUAGUCGCCUCUUCCACUGUCUGAUACAGUUGGAUCCCAUCUUCAUAAAACAUUCGCAGUUUAGCAGGGUAUGGAGUUUGGAAUCUAAUCUUUCCUUGCUUUAAUAUUUACUUUACUUCAGAGUAUCUUUACAUUUCUGCAGGACCACUGUGGGGGGGGGGGUAAUCUUGAUCGAAAUACAGGUAUAUUAAUUUCCAGUCCAAAAACACCCUCUUCUUUCCCCAGGCCCUUCCUAUAAUCUUCGCCUUGGUAUUGUAUUGAAGGAAUCUAAUUACUAUUGAGCAUGGCUUAUCUCCUCUGUCUCCAGUAAGCCUCGGAGUGAGCGCACGAUGCGCCCUCUCAAUUUCAAGCUCCAUAGUUGAAGGAAUCUCUAGUGCGUCCUGCAGCAACUUUCGUACAAACUCCAUCAUACACAAACCCUCCGCUCCUUCGGGAAAAUUGUAUAUCCUGAUAUUUUUCCACCGUGAUCUUCCCUCCUGGUCAAGCAGUUUACUUUCUUGUUGAUUUAAUAUUUUUAUUGUCUUACUUAGUAUCUGUUCUAUGUUUUACACAUGAUCUUCUACCUUCUCAAUUCAUGUUUCUGCCACUGCUAUUUUUUGAUUGACGUUGGUGAGCUUUGACUUGAUAUCAUUUAGUUGCUGUUUUAUAUCUUUUUGGAAUCCCUGUAUCUCUUCCAGAAUUUUUAUCAUAUUUGCUGCUUUGCCUGAACGAGGCCUGGCGCCCGCCUCGCUAUCACGCGGUCGGGUAGGAGAGCCGCUCGCUGCACCCCUCUCAUCCACAGGCUCUGCGGUGAUGCUUUUUUUUAAUCUACAUUCCUUUUCCCCAUUCUUGCCCCCCUUAUCAAUUCAGAUACGUUCAAACGAUAUUUUAUUUGAUGGAUUAAUGGGGCAAAAUAUGUGUUUUUCCAAAGCAGCUAUUGACUUAGGCUGCCAUUCUGAACGAUGACAUCACCGGAACCCCCCCGGGAGUCCUAUCUCAGCUGUGAUGGAAUGGUGGAGAAGACUCGCUAGGCCAGUUGACCUACUCCUAUGUCUUAGGGUCACAGAGCCGUGGAAAAGUACAGAACAGAAGCAGGCUCUUUGUCCCAUCUAGUCUGUGCCAAAUCCAUUUAAACUGCCUACUCCCGUCGACCUGCACCCAGACUGUAGCCCUCCACACCCCUACCUACCAUGUACCUGUCCAAACUUCUCUUAAGUGUUGAAAUUAAGCUCACAUGCACCACCUGUGCUGUCAGCUCAUUCCACGCUCUCACAACUUUCUGAGUGAAGAAGUUUCCCUUCAUGUUUCCCUUUAACCUUUCACCCUUAAUCCAUGACCUUCAGUUGUCAUCCUACCCAACCUCAGUGGAAAAAGCCUGCUUGCAUUUACCCUAUCCGUACUCCACAUAAUUUCGUAUACCUCUAUCAAAUCUCCUCUCAGUCUUCUAUGUUCCAAGGAAUAAAGUCCUAACCAGGUCCACCAGACUGGCAACAUCCUUGUAAAUUUUCUCUGCACUCUUUCAACAUUACUUACACCUUUCCCGUAGGCAGGUGAUCAAAACCGCACACAAUACUCAAAAUUAGGCCUCACAAACGUCUCAUACAACUUCGACAUAAAUCCCAUCUCCUCUGCUCAAUAUAUUGAUUUAGGAAGGCCAAUUUGCCAAAAUCUUUUCUUAUGACCCUAUCUACCUGUGAUGCCACUUCCAAUGAAUUAUGGACCUGCAUUUCCAGAUCCCUUUGUUCUACUGUACUCCUCAGUGCCCUACCAUCCCUGUGCAAGAUCUUAUGGUCUAUUUAUUCAUGAAGAAACAACAGUGAUGACCGUCUGCUCCAGACCAGUCCAGUCCUCAUCGAAGGGUCAGUGGUGGGAAGAGUGAGUGGCCUCAAUUUCCUGGGUGUCAACAUCUCUGAAGAUCUACCCUAGGUCAAAGUAUCGAUGUGGUUACAAAGAAGGCACAACAGCGGCUAUAUUUCAUUAAAGGUUUGAAGAGAUUUGGUCACCAAAGGUUCUAGCAAAUUUCUUCAAUCUACCAUGAUGAGCAUUCUGGUGUAUCUUCAUCUAGUAUAGAGGGUCCAAUGCAUACGGUCAGAACCAAUGCAGAGGGUUCUACACUCAACCAGCUACAUUAUGGGCACUAGCCUCCCUGCCUUUGAGGACAUCUUCAAGAAGGCAGCAUCUAACAUUAAUGACCAUAGUCUCCAGGACGUGCCCAUUUCUCAUUGCUACCAUCAGAGAGGAGGUCCAGGAGCCUGAAGAGACACAGUCAACAUUUUAGGAACAACUUCUUACUCUUACCCACCACCAUCAGAUUUCCAAACAGUCUGUGAAACCAUGAACACAAUCUCAUUAUUAUGCAUUUUACUGUACUUUAAAAAAAAUUGUAGCUUCUAGUAAUCUUUUUUAUGUAUUGCACUGUGCUGCUGCUAAAAAAAACAAAAAAAAAGUCACGACAGAUGUCAGUAAUAAUAACACAAAAUGCUGGCAGAACUCAGCAGGCCAGACAGCAUCUAUGUGAGGAGGCAGUGAUGACGUUUCGG